CAUACUUAGUGUUGUGUUCGGUAUACAUAAAUAACAUUAUAAAAGUAAUUUCUGUCCUUGAAAAAAAACCAAUAAAUAAGUGUGGAUUCACUUAAAGGGUUAUUCCAUCCACCAUGACCACUUCAGUGAUUCAAAGUGGUCCUGGUGGUAGAAGUAAGAUGUGCAUAACUUUAGCAUGAAACACUGCACAUACAAAAAUAUUUUUAAUUAUCUAUUGAGGCUAGUUGCAUCCCCGGCACACAUGACAUUGACAGAUCUCCAUUACAAACUACCUAAAGUUAAUUUUGUGCAUAUUUUGCAUUUAUCAUCAGUACAUACUGCACACUGGUGAAAUAUGUGUUUAUCUUCCCCCUUGAAGACUGGUUCAACCUCUCUCUCACUCAUUGUGUGCUCUUUCCUCUUAAAAAACAGACACUUCCCUCCCUCCAAAUCCUGGCCCAGAGCAAGCACUUGCCAUGAGCCACUGGAACUGACUACAGAGAAACACAAAACAAUGCAAUAUCUAGGCUUUGUUUCAGGAAUUGGGCAACUUCCUUCAUUCUUAAGUUGUUAAAGGUUCUUAAAGGUUCUGCUUGCCGCUGCCCAAAAACAAUAGACAUUUUUUAUUUUAUAACUUUCACGUUAAUUUGUUUGAAAAGAAUUCGAGUCAUCUAUCUUCCCGUUUACUUUAAAAGUGCAGUAUCACAUUAUUUAUACGGUCUCACUAAUAAUAGGGAACAAUAUUUUAGAUUUAGUAAGGCACAACCUUGUCAUAUAUCACUUUAUUUAUUAUGUUAAAGUAAUCUAUUACUUAAUUUUUGAUACUUCCCAGGAGAGAUAGGGAUCUAAAUGCCCAUAUGUUAGAAUGAUCCAUCAGAUAUGGGAAGCAUAAUAGAUUGUAUCUUUAGAACUAAGAUCACUGCUGGAUGUUAAUCAUUUUAGUAAUGCUUUGGAAACCCUUAGCUUGCCUCCACCUUGAUGUCUCUAAGGGGUUUCAUCCUAGAAACAGGUCACGUUGACUUGAGGGACCUGGUGACCCUAUUACCCCCUCUUUGCGGGUUUGAGUGGGAGGUGUUACAAUGUCCACAGUAUUGUGUCUGUUCUUGUUCCUUCUUACUGGACUACCACCCACAUUUAUGAUGUGGCUACUACAUGUGACUGGCCCUGUUUGUGGACACUUCCAUUGACAGUCCUCCCUAACGACUGACAUGCUGGCUUCAUUACCAGAACGUUAUUGUCAAAAUAACAUUGUCAUGUCAGUUGGUUAUUUUUAGUAAGGUUGCGACGAGAGGUUACUUGUUACCACUCUUCCCUUUAUGAACAAUGAAUGGCAGAUCAUUCUGUUUUAGCUCUCGUUGAAGUUGCACAAAAGUGCAAAAAAAUGCAUCAGGCAUUCUGCUUAUUUGAUUUUAAAUUCACAGUUGGGCACCGAGUGUUGCUAUAUAGUUAGCAGCUGGAGCCCGUUUUAGGGUGACUACAGCUUUCAGACAGAUUGUGGAUGGAGAAGAGUAUGUGUGUUCUUGAGAUAGUUUGACUAUAGAUAUAUACCUAGGCCUAAUUAAAGUAAAUGUGCUAUAUACUUGAGAUGGAUUUGCCUUUCUCUCUACUGCGAUUCCAACUGACGCACUCUGUAAAUCGAACUAUAAGUUUGUUAUAGUUGCAAUGUGUGUGCUACAGUAUAACACUAAAGUAACGUUGACUAAUUGCAUUACCUAUACAAUUGUAAGGGCAUUUUAAGGUUUUGUAAUGUUUUCCUAGAUACAUUUAGUUAGUUACCGGUUGAAGGAUAGCUAAAUUUAUAUAACAGGGCAGAGUAUGAAACCUAAAUGUUGCCUAAUUACGCCUUGCUCUUAUCCAGUGAUUCAGACACCGUCCUGUCCAAGUGGAACAAGUUAAUUUUAUUGCCAAUUUAGGACAGCUAGUUUCCUGUAUAAACAUAAAUUAAUGAGGUUAUGCAAUUGUAAGGAACAAGUAGGCUAUACCCUUAAAGGGAAUAUCAAUGAGUCUAUAGAACACUUUACAUUUACAAUACAGUUUUGCCUAACUAUUGAUUACAUGGCCUCAUUCCUCCCCAUUCUUAUCCCAAGAUACCUCCUUGCUUAAAAUUCUAAGUCAGGUCACCAUGGCAACUAAUAUUUUUGUCCUGGCACCUGGGAUUUUCUGGCCCAUUCAGUGGUUGUCUGCCUAUGAGUGGAGGAGGGGCCGGCCAGCUCAUAAAGAGAAAAGGCGUGCGGUCAGCUCAGUCAGUUGGCCUGCUGAGGGAGAGCAUGGGUGUCCAGGCGGUCAGCUAAGGAAGAGUAUGGGCGUGCAGGCGGUCAGCCAGCUGAGGGUGAGUGUGGGCAGGAUGCUCCUGGAGGAUUGAAGCAGACGGGUAGGCAUGCGAGGGAGUUGUCAUUCCUGCCCAGGCAUCACUAAACACUAUGGAGCAGAGCAGGGAGAUGACCGAAGUCACACUGGACCACUCAAGCUUUCCCAAGGGUAGGGGAGGCUGGGUGGUCACAAAUGUGACAAAUGUGUGUGACAAAAUGUCUUUGAUUAUUGCAGUGACAGUGAAUGAGUGUAUUUCAGUCAGUAUGUGUACAUGUGUAUCAGUGAGUGUGUUUAGAUUACGGGUCCCCUUCAAUCACAUGGGAAUGGGGUUUUUACUCUUUUUUUUCCCCCCAUUGCCGUUCUGGCCUUAGCUGGCCCUGUCUCCAUGACUGCGAUCAUCAAUCUUGAUCAUCUCAGCCAAGUCAAUGCUUUACCAUAGGAAAGCAUUUGGUGGCUAUUGCGCAUGUGUGGCAAAAUGCCUCACUACGCCAAUCAGCAUCUCCUCAUAGAGAUGCAUUGAAUCAAUGCAUCUCAAAGGUGAACGUUCAUUCUGCGUUGAGACGCUAAAUGUAGGUGCUGCGCACUGUACACUCUACAGGUCGUCUGAGUGACUGGCACUAGUAGGGUUACUAGGCAACAAUGUUAUUUACUCUAAAAAGGUCGGAUUUACAUGAAAAAGUGUUCAGUGACAGGUUACAGAAACGAUAACUACAUUACAUGGUUCAAUACUUUUUUUUUUUUUUGCUGGUUCCUAGAUUCAAAGCAGAUUUGUCAAGCCCUAAUCUAGAUUUACUCUAGGGCAGUGGUUCCCAAAUCAGGAUUUGUGUAUUUCACUGUUUAAUUCCAAUAGAGAUAUGGACAACACCUGGACUGUUGGUGGGGUUUGGCAGAGUUCUUUAUUGGUUAUCUGUGUAUUCAUAUUGAACAAUAGCAGCUUUCACCUAACCCACACUCAUUUUGUUUUAUUAAAUGAGGGUUUCUUAGGUUUUCCUUUUUUGGUUCAUGUCUUUGGUUAAGUGCUACAAUAAAUUAAAUAAGAUUUGUAAUGGAAGAUCCUUUUUUCCUCCUUUGUAGGAGUAAUUAUUGAACAUGUUUUUUUUUGGAUUAUCCCAAAGCUUGGCCCCUGAUAGACACUAUUGGCUCAGAAAAUAAAUAAGGUCACCCAAAAGGGUCCAAGAGUGGAGCUACUGAAUGUAAAAAUAAAUAUGUCUGCAUUUUAGAACAGCAAACAAAAUGGAUUCCAGAAUCAGAGUCCACUACUUCAGUUAAACAUUCUGAGUGUUUUCAGGAAUCCC